rnacentral:tRNA from 1 species
CCUUCGAAACCUCAGAUGGUGGAGCGGAGGACUGAAGAUCCUUAGGUCGCUGGUUCGAAUCCGGCUCGAAUGA